rnacentral:tRNA from 1 species
CUUGGUAGAGCUUGAUAAAUAAGCACUUCUUUUACACAGAAUUGAUAUUUGUGCAAUUCAAAUUGCCUUGA